AACGAACGCUGGCGGCAUACCUAACACAUGCAAGUCGAACGAGACCUUCGGGUCUAGUGGCGCACGGGUGCGUAACGCGUGGGAACCUGCCCUUAGGUUUGGAAUAACUCCCCGAAAGGGGUGCUAAUACCGGAUAAUGUCUUCGGACCAAAGAUUUAUCGCCUUUGGAUGGGCCCGCGUUGGAUUAGCUAGUUGGUAGGGUAAAAGCCUACCAAGGCGACGAUCCAUAGCUGGUCUGAGAGGAUGAUCAGCCACACUGGGACUGAGACACGGCCCAGACUCCUACGGGAGGCAGCAGUGGGGAAUAUUGGACAAUGGGCGAAAGCCUGAUCCAGCAGUGCCGCGUGAGUGAUGAAGGCCUUAGGGUUGUAAAGCUCUUUUACCCGGGAUGAUAAUGACAGUACCGGGAGAAUAAGCUCCGGCUAACUCCGUG
rnacentral:rRNA from 1 species